CGUGAAAGUGUGGAGCAAAAUUUCUGAUUUUUGGUUACAAAAUAAAAAGGAAAAAUAAAAGCUUCCAUGGUCAACUACACAAUAAUUUUACGUUCUUCUUCACCCUUCCAUGGUCACUUGGCAAGCAUGUCAAGACACUCCCUCCUUUUUCCUCUGUCAAAAUCCUGCUACCAAUCAAUUACCUUAGCUUCUUCAUGUAAAAAAAAAUCAGAUUAAUUACUCUAAUUUUCUCCCUCCCAACCACUGAUUUUGGGUUCUCAAUCUCACUAUAAAUAGCCAUGAAAAUCUCUCACCAAGAACACCAUCAACAACAAUUCUAUAAACUUACUCCUCUCAUAUCUUACUCCACCACCACCUACGAACCAUCUUUCAACUACCACAAUUCCAGUCACAAAUUCGUCGGAAACUCGCCGGAAAACAUGACCCAAAGUAACCCAAAAAGAGAAACCCAUAUUUCCCUUCUCUCUCCUCUGUUUCGGGUUUCAAACGCCACCACCAUCGGCUGCCGCUGGCUUGCGGACGCCACGACAGACGCCUGCUACCUCGCGCAUCGCUCGCCGGCCACCUAGACCCUCGCCGGAGAUCCACCGUGCCAGCACCCUCGCGUUCUCUCCUCUUUCUCGCACUUUUCUUUCUCGCGUCCUCUCUUUCGUCGCGCUAGCAACACCGCGCACAACCACCGCGGCACGCAGCUCGUCGCCGCCGUUCGCCGGUCUCGUCGCUGUCGUUCGCCGCUGCUCGCCAUCGUCGCCGGAGCCGACCUCCUGCCGCUGUCGUCCCUAGCUCCCUGCUCUAAGAAGCAGAGGUAUGGAAGAACAAUUGUGGAUCACUAUUAUACUACGUUAUGGAGAAUUGGAGAUUAUGUAUGAUUCAUGAGGUUUUAAGUUACUUUCUUUGAUGGAUAAACAAGUAUUAUUUUGCGAUGAGUAAUUGUAUAGUUGAUUUUAAAAUUUUAGGCUACUAUUUUAUUUGUGGGCCAUAACCCACAAACUUAAGUUAUGCUUCCGUUGACGAUUAAGGUUAUGUAAACUUUCGGGGAGUUACAGUUAGAGUUCCGAGUAAAACUUGUAAGAGAGUUGGAGUUUCGAGUGGAACUUGCGCAUGUAAUAUGUUGUAACAGAGGAGGUUCCCUAUUAUAGUGAGGAUAUUUAUAAAUGUGAGGUAGUAUAUUUACAAAGUAAGGUAUAUAUAUUUUGUAUUUA